GAGGGUAUAGCUCAGUGGUAGAGUAUGUGUUUAGCAUGCACAAGGUCCUGGGUUCAAUCCCCAGUACCUCCA
rnacentral:tRNA from 1 species